ACGAACGCUGGCGGCGUGCUUAACACAUGCAAGUCGAACGGUGAAGCGCCUUCCUUUUUGGUGGGUGUGGAUGAGUGGCGAACGGGUGAGUAACACGUGAGUAACCUGCCCCCUUCUUCUGGAUAACCGCAUGAAAGUGUGGCUAAUACGGGAUAUUCUGGGUCUGUCGCAUGAUGGGUCUGGGAAAGAUAUUGUUUCGGUGGGGGAUGGGCUCGCGGCCUAUCAGCUUGUUGGUGGGGUGAUGGCCUACCAAGGCGGUGACGGGUAGCCGGCCUGAGAGGGUGGACGGUCACACUGGGACUGAGACACGGCGCAGACUCCUACGGGAGGCAGCAGUGGGGAAUAUUGCACAAUGGGCGCAAGCCUGAUGCAGCGACGCCGCGUGAGGGAUGGAGGCCUUCGGGUUGUGAACCUCUUUCGCCAGUGAAGCAGGCCUGCCUCGUUUGUGGGUGGGUUGACGGUAGCUGGAUAAGAAGCGCCGGCUAACUACGUG
rnacentral:rRNA from 1 species